rnacentral:tRNA from 5 species
GGCUCCGUGCCCGAGUGGUCAGGGAGCGGUCUGCAAAACCGUGUACGGCGGUUCGAUUCCGCCCGGAGCCUCCA